UUAAAAAAAAAAUAAAAUUGCAUCAACUACUUUUUCAAUAUCUCUUUGUUCAUGUUGGGGGUGAAUUUCUUUGACAGGCUGCUUUGAGUGAGACAUGCUCUGGCAGACAACUUGAAGAAUAGAGCUCUGCUAACACCUAGGUUUUAGCAUAACAAUGGCUGACGGAUGAAAACUGUUGAAAUAUUGAUGUGAAGUGUAAGCCAGAAUGAAACUAAAAAGCCAGACUCGAACCAAUAACACCUGGAUAAGUAGAAACUGAGUAGAGGAACAAGACUGAAGAACUGAUUGAACUUGCUUUCCUCUGUUGUAUUGUGCCUCUCCAAUGUGUUGCAGUUUGUAUUUCUGGUCUCCUCUGUUCCUUCCACUUUGAACCAUCUGAGGUGUGCAAUGGUUAAAACCAGAAAGAUAGAAGGUGCCGUGAUCAAGUCCUCUCUGUCAAGGAAAGUACAGGUGGUACAAGCAGAGAAACUUGUGAAUCAUGACAAGAUUUAACUUGAUCUGCUUUUUAUAUCCAGAGCAGAUAGUGGUGAAUUUUAAUGAAAUAUCCCUGCUGCAGUUAGUAGAGACUGGCUGAUCCAUAGCAAGCCUCAGUGAUCCUGACUUCAUGUCCCUGCUUCACUUGGCUGUUCAUAAAACUGGAAGUCCCAGGCUUGGCUUGCCCUUUGGAAAUUUGAGGCUUUGCAAAUAUGUCAGUAGCUGUUUCCAGUGAGAAAGAGGCUGUAAUUACUUGAACAAAAUUUGACUGACAAGUGAACAGGAUGUAUCUGUUGAGGGCUUAUUGCCAAGCGUGGAUUUGUACUUAAGCAGAUGUAAUUGCGUGGACUUCGUACUGGAUUGUUUGACAGAUUAAAUUUCUAUGAUAGUGUGAGAUAACAGGAGGUCACAGUCCAAGAAUAAGGUUCUGAAGAGUAUGUAUUCACAGCUGGGGUGCUAAUCUGAUUAAUUGAAAGCUGAUUCAGUUCAUAAUAAAUUCAUGUUGUUGGAUCCAAGAGUGUCAGUGCCAGUUGUCAAUGCCAGUUAUGUGUGAGGUCUGUGAAUGGAGAAUGGUCUUUUGCACCGGUGCUGGGAAAAUCUGAGCAGGGUCUCCACUUUGUAGCUGCUUCUCAAAGCCUGAAACACAAUCUAAAGCCUGAAGAAACCACAGCUGGCACACAAGGUUAUGCUAAAAAAAGGGUUUGUUUGGGUUUUUUAAGAUCUACAUUGGUAUCGGGCAGCCUUUCACUGUCAGAUACAGAGUGCAAUAUAAAUCUGUCUGCCUGUGGCAUUAAGGAAAUAGGAGGUUUUAGAUGUGGUACUUGGUCAGUGGUGCUGGGUAUCAGCACACAGGCUCUGAUAGCAGCUGGUGGUAUAUUUUUAGAAGC